rnacentral:siRNA from 1 species
AGAGAACAUUUCAGCUCUUGUGGA